rnacentral:rRNA from 1 species
UAGGGAAUCUUCGGCAAUGGGGGCGAACCCUGACCGAGCAACGCCGCGUGAGUGAAGAAGGUUUUCGGAUCGUAAAGCUCUGUUGUAAGAGAAGAACGUGUGUGAGAGUGGAAAGUUCACACAGUGACAGUAACUUACCAGAAAGGGACGGCUAACUACGUGCCAG